rnacentral:rRNA from 1 species
UCGCCGCGCAUACAUGUGGCGCACAACGAGUUUCCUAGGCCGAUAGGAUUGUCUCUUAGCCAGGAUCUCGAGGGAUCCGCGUGACAUCAUGGGCAUGCAGACGACUGCAUUCGAUCAUGUGUCGUUGCGACGGUGUUGUUGUGAUGUUGUCACAGCUAAGAGACUCUGGGCAAUCUGAGAGAGCGCUACGUGACUGGGCUAGACUUUUGUAAUUGUUGGUCUUGAACGAGGAAUGCCUAGUAAUCGUAGGUCAUUAUCCUGCGAUGAUUAUGUCCCUGCCCUUUGUACACACCGCCCGUCGCUCCUGCCGUGGCUCGUGCCGGUGAAGAGGGGGAGGCAGCGUCAACGGAGUAACAUCUGAUUGUACGUGGAACCCCUCUGAACCUUCGCGAGUAGAGGAAGGAGAAGUCGUAACAAGGUUUUCGUAGGUGAACCUGCGAAAGGAUCAUUAUCGGCAAAUUCAUAACUACAACACUCAUAUGUGUGUGUGGUAAACACUUAUGGACUAUGUGAACAUAUGUCUAUAUGUAUUGUAACAAUGUUGACGUCUUAGCAAUGUCUCUAAAGCAUGCGUAGUGGACGGCUCGGUUCCCGUGUCGAUGAAGGACGUAGCGAAAUACGAAAGGUGUUGCGAAUUGCAAGAUUUCGUGAGUCAAUGAAUAUCCGAAUGCAUUGUCGUCCCUUCGCAGUCUUCGGGUUGCAAGGGGCGCGUCGGCAACAUCGGCUAAUUGUCGACCUUCAUAGUUUCUGUUGUACUCUUCCACGAGAGGCUGCUGGAUUCUACGAAGUAGUGGUUCAGUGAACAAGCAUUCGCUACUGCAUCUUGCUGGCUGUGCUUGUGAUGUUUCUCUCUCACUAUCGACUACUGAUUGAGAUCAACGACAGU